rnacentral:lncRNA from 1 species
CACGAUUCGGAUGAUCUGAUCAGGGUUGACAGUUUAACCUUGAGUCAUCCUAAACACAGAGGUCAAAAGGAUGAAUUAUACAGUAACCAUAUUCAUGUAGGUUCUGAGUGUUGUAAUUACGACCAUUCGACCUAUCCGAUCGUCGGGUACCAUUGCUAGAUGGUCACUUCGAUUAGUACAAGAAUUGAUUUCUGUGCUACCGGCUUAGGUUCGAAUCUAU